UGAAUACGAGAUGCUACGGCGUCGAAGCAGUGUAUGUCAGACUUCCAAGAAAAGCUCGCAAUGUCAUAAAUAAAGAAUGCCUGUACCAUAACCGACACAGGUGGGUAGGUAGAGUAUACUAAGGGGCGCGAGAUAACUCUCUCUAAGGAACUCGGCAAAAUAACUCCGUAACUUCGGGAGAAGGAGUGCCUUCUUUAAGAAGGUUGCAAUAACAAGAUCCAAGCAACUGUUUAUCAAAAACACAGGUCUCCGCUAAGUCGUAAGACGAUGUAUGGGGGCUGACGCCUGCCCAGUGCCAGAAGGUUAAAGAAGCUGGUUAGCAAUAGCGAAGCUGGUGACUGAAGCCCUGGUGAACGGCGGCCGUAACUAUAACGGUCCUAAGGUAGCGAAAUUCCUUGUCGGGUAAGUUCCGACCCGCACGAAAGGCGUAAUGAUUUGGAUACUGUCUCGGAGAGGGACUCGGUGAAAUAGACUUGUCUGUGAAGAUGCGGACUACCUGCACCAGGACAGAAAGACCCUAUGAAGCUUUACUGUAACCUGAAAUUGAAAUUGGACUUUAUUUGCGCAGUAUAGGUGGGAGGCGUUGAAAGUAAUCUUGCGGGAUUAGUGGAGCCAUCAGUGAGAUACCACUCCUAUAAUGUUAGAUUUCUAACUUUGGAUCAUGAUCUGGUCAAAGAACAGUUUCAGGCGGGCAGUUUGACUGGGGCGGUCGCCUCCCAAAUGGUAACGGAGGCGUACAAAGGUUUCCUCUGAACGGGUAGAAAUCGUAUCUAGAGUGUAAAGGCAUAAGGAAGCUUGACUGUGAGACCUACAAGUCGAGCAGGGACGAAAGUCGGUCUUAGUGAUCUGACGGUGCUGAGUGGAAAGGCCGUCACUCAACGGAUAAAAGUUACUCUAAGGAUAACAGGCUGAUCUCCCCCAAGAGUUCACAUCGACGGGGAGGUUUGGCACCUCGAUGUCGGCUCAUCGCAUCCUGGGGCGGUAGUACGUCCCAAGGGUUGGGCUGUUCGCCCAUGAAAGCGGUACGCGAGCUGGGUUCAGAACGUCGUGAGACAGUUCGGUCCAUAUCCGGUGUAGGCGUUAGAAUAUUGAGAGGAGCCUUCUCUAGUACGAGAGGACCGAGAAGGACAUACCUCUGGUGUACCAGUUAUCGUGCCAACGGUAAACGCUGGGUAGCUAUGUAUGGAGAGGAUAACCGCUGAAAGCAUCUAAGUGGGAAGCCCACCUCAAGAUGAGUAUUCUCAUC
rnacentral:rRNA from 1 species